CGGAGGGCGAGAGCCACCUCUCCGCACCUGAGUGGGAAAUGGAGCUCGCCGGACCCCAAGGCCACCCUGUAAGCAGGGUAGUGCCGUUUCCCUGCCCCUCUUCCUCCCCCGGCCCCUCGGCAUCGUUGCCUGAUGGUGGCUUGUCAACGCGACGGCCCCGUACUCGGGGUGUGCGUCACGGCAUUUGGCCGCUGGCUUUACCUGAGAAGCCCCUUGGCACGUUGAGGUCUGUGGCCUCCGUGCAGCCUAGGGACAGGUCACAGGCUCUUGUCUGUUGCCCGUGGUUGUGGGUUUAUUCCCAGGUGUUGGCUGUGCUGCGUUGUCCUUCCCUUCUGGAAAGUCGUGCCUGUGUGUGCGUGUUCCCCUUCCUUUCCUUGUUUGUGUUUGUGGAGUGGUUGAGCGGCUGUGCUUUCCCUUUAGGCCUCCACAAAGAUGGCUGCAGCUUAGCUUUGACUUCCCGGGGGGAAUGGAGGACUUUGGUGCAUGCCGCAAAAGGGGUGUUCCCUCUUAGUCCUGCGAGCGCAGCGAGUGUCCUGUCUUCCUACUAUUUUCCUUAGUGCAGAUCAGAGCCACACGGUAGUUCUGUGGCCAAGGCCUCCCUGUAGCCAGGGCUUGGGCCUGUCCUUGCGUGGCCGCCUGUCCUGCUGGCGGCGGUGACAGCCCCGUACUCGGGGUGUGUGUCCCAAGCUUUGGAGCCCUCUGUCCCUGAGCAGCCCGCCCGCCCUGUAAUCAGGUGUGGGGAGGCUGCAGCGUUGCAGCCGGCUGCUUUAGCCAUCCAGCUGGUGGGAGUGACCCCUCCCUGUCCCGUCAGAGGGUGCAGGUUGAGGUGCUGUUUGUGUGUGGGGUGACCUCCCCGCUCGGUGGGUCGAGGUAGCUCCCUGGGCUUCCAAAGACGAGACGUUGGUGAUGUUCUGCUGCUGCCGGGCGGGCCAGCCUGUAGCUCAGGCGUUGGCGGGAGCCUCGUGCUCCGCGGGGCUUCUUGAAGAGGGUGAGGUGUGGGGGUACCGUCCUGUAGGCAGGGCUGUGUGUGCCCCCCGUGUGUGCUUGGUGAGCUGUGUUCUGAGAGACCCCCUGUACUCAGGUGGGAAUGUGGCCCCGGCCUUUCAGAGGCGCGGGGCCGUGAGAUGCGGGGUGGGGCUU
ensembl:lncRNA